rnacentral:rRNA from 1 species
UACGUAGGGUGCAAGCGUUGUCCGGAUUUAUUGGGUUUAAAGGGUGCGUAGGCGGUCUGUUAAGUCAGUGUUUAAAUUUUGCAGCUUAACUGUAGGUAUGGCAUUGAUACUGAUGGACUUGAAUAUUAAGGAGGUAGCUGGAAUUUAUGGUGUAGCGGUGAAAUGCAUAGAUACCAUAAGGAACACCGAUAGCGGAGGCAGGUUACCACUUGAUGAUUGACGCUGAGGCACGAAAGUGUGGGGAUCAAACAGG